AGGUCCAGUCAGUUGCAUGGAACAGGUAUUCUCCGGAGCUGCUGCUUAGUGGAUCAUUCGACAAAUCGGUUGUUAUGAUAGAUGGGAGAUCUAUCAAUGAGGUUGGUAACAAGUGGCCUCUUAUGGCUGACGUUGAAAGCUUGGCAUGGGAUCCACAUGCACAUCACUCUUUUGUGGUGAGUCA